GAUGAACGCUGGCGGCGUGCCUAAUACAUGCAAGUCGAGCGAACAGACGAUGAGCUUGCUCCUCUGACGUUAGCGGCGGACGGGUGAGUAACACGUGGAUAACCUACCUAUAAGUCUGGGAUAACUUCGGGAAACCGGAGCUAAUACCGGAUAAUAUAUUGAACCGCAUGGUUCAAUAGUGAAAGACGGUUUUGCUGUCACUUAUAGAUGGAUCCGCGCCUCAUUAGCUAGUUGGUAAGUUAAAGGCUUACCAAGGCGACGAUGCGUAGACGACCUGAGAGGGUGAUCGGCCACACUGGAACUGAGACACGGACCAGACUCCUACGGGAGGCAGCAGUAGGGAAUCUUCCGCAAUGGGGGAAAGCCUGACGGAGCAACGCCGCGUGAGUGAUGAAGGUCUCCGGAUCGUAAAGCUCUGUUAUUAGGGAAGAACAAAUGUGUAAGUAACUAUGCACGUCUUGACGGUACCUAAUAAGAAAGCCACGGCUAACUACGUG
rnacentral:rRNA from 1 species